ACGGUACGAGAUCUAGUUUUAUUGCGGAAUGUGGAUGGAGGAGAAAUUUGUUUCCUAUUCCAACCAAGCCCGAUCGUUCAGUAUCACCAACAAAAUCCUUCUACGUACUAGUACUAAUUACAACUCCAGACCAGUUUGAUUCAUCAACGGCCACCCUAUAUAACUUUUCUCCCAUUCAUAGCAAGCGUGGUAGUAUAUAAUUUCGCCACGUAACUUUCCUGCUUUUCCGGAGGCGGUCGACGAGAGGAUCGGAGGAGCAAUGGAGGGUACACUACUAGAAAAAGCAUUUUUCAUGUGGACAAAACUAAUUUUCGCAUAUGAAAGAGAGGUCCACCUAUACCACAACGACUGCGAAAAUCAUCCAUCUUCGUACUCGGGGCAACGGCCUGCCUGCGAAAAUAGAAGAAAUGAACAAAAAAAAAAAAACGCCGGCCCGCACCGGGAGCCGCCGGCGGCCUCCCCCCUCCCUCCUCUGGCAAGAUCUGGGAGGGAGGGGGAAGGGGAGCCGCCGCCGCCACCUAGCCCGCGCUGCCGCCGCUCCACGCCGUCGGCGCCGCCGCCGGCCUCCUCCCUCCCUCCUCCGGUCAGAUCUGGGAGGGAGCGGGGGAGGGGAGCCGCCGUUGCCGCCCGGCCCGCGCCGUCGUCGCCGCCGCCCGACCCGCGCCAUCGUCGUCGCCGCCGCCGCCUAGUCCGCGCCGUCGCCGCUCCACGCCGUCGGCGCCACUGCCGGCCUCCUCCCUCCCUCCUCCGGUCAGAUCUGGGAGGGAGCGGGGGAGGGGAGCCGCCGCCGCCGCCCGGCCCGCGCCAUCGUCGCCGCCGCCGGCCUCCCCCUCCCUCCUCCGGUCAGAUCUGGGAGGGAGGGGGGAGGGGAGCCGCCGCCGCCUAGCCCGCGCCACCGCCGGCCUCCUCGGCGGCGCCGCCUCGCCUCCCUCCUCCGUCGCCCUCCUCGGCGGCGCCGCCUCGCCUCCUCGCCGCUGCUGCCCUUCGCCGCCACCGCCCACCGCCGCCGCCAGGGAGAGUAGAAGUGAGGGGAGGGGAGAGGAGGAGAGGGGAGGGGAGGGGCCGGUGGUGUGGAGAGGUGAGGAGAGGUGUGGAGGGGAGGACUGAGGACUUAGAAAAAAUUACCGCCCGCGUGUAUUUAUAUUAAGUCUAUUUUCACAGGCAGAC
rnacentral:lncRNA from 1 species